AGCCCGCGCCCGCCGUGCCGGGAGGGCGGUGCCGCCAUGUUGUUAGUGCCGGGGCGGCUGGCGUGGGCCUGCGGGGCCUGUGCACUGUGCUGCCGCACCCGACGGCUGGCUUCAUUAGUGACCUGGGUAGAUCCUCGGCCAGUUCGCUCGUGUUACACGGCUGGCACAAGUGGCUGUCAGCUACCAUUCAGACAGACCUGGGCAGGCGGGAAAGCUGGGGCGAGGUGAACCUCAUCAAGUUCAGCAAGGAGAGGGGUAGAGGCCUGCACCUGGAGUGGCGUAACCCCCUGCACCAGCACAGACGGGGGCUGAGCUGCUGGGAAGCAGCAGUCUGCAGAAAGCCUUGGGAGAGCUGCAGGACAGCAAAGCUCACCACGAGCUGGCGUUGUGGUUUUGUGCCCAAGAAGCCAGAUGUUCUCCUGGGAUUAGAGCAGCUGAAAUCUUGAUGUGCUGUUCUCACCCACUUCCUCAGCCUGGAACUGCUCAUCUCUCCUUCUUUGCAGCCACCUCAGUAGCAGCAGCACAGCCAGGCCAAAGACAUCGAUCAGCAUCACCACUGUCCCCGCAGCACUAAUGCCAGCAGCCUGGAGAACUCCUGUGGCUUUUCACCAACGUGGUGACCAGGAGCAUGAUGACAGUUUUAUGACAUACCCAUCACCAAGCAGAAAGUGUAGAAUACUGGCAAGAGAAGGGCACAGGAUUAAUUGAGACAACAGACUUCAAGGCAAGUGUCCUUCCAAAUAUCAAUACAGACACAGGUGUCACGGCUCUAUGACAACAGAAUAAGCAGCAUUAUUUCCUUUAAUCCACACUAAGCUGUAACAGCACUACAAGAGUUAAUUAUUUAGAACACAGGCUGUGAAAGGAAUAAUCCUGCAGAAAAUGUGGAGUUGCAUUAUUUCUUUGGUGAUCUCUGCUUCCAUGGAAACAAUUUCUCGGCACAAAUCUCAAUCUCAUAAAAAUAGGGCAGUAGGUCCAUGUAAACCAGCAAGACAUUUCCAAUUAAACAGGCAGAAUGCUUUUAUCUAGGCCAUUAAAUACUUUGUUCGGUAUCAAAUAUGAUUACAGUGUUCACUGGGAUGUUAACAGCCAGCUCCUUCCCCUGCACUGGCUCAGUGGGGCUGGAUGAAGUCCUCGUGCACACAUCCUGCGAUCCCUCGCUGCUCAGCAGGUUCCCGGCAUCAGGCUUCCUUCCCCUGCACCACUCUGCCAUGCCAGGUCUUCCUCCUGAGGUGUGCUCUGCACCUCCCUGCUGCUUGCUUUCCACCACCACACCACCUCUUCCCCCAUCACAUUGUGCUAUCCUCCUAGCUCAGUCGUGCCCAGCAGACCAAGCGCUCUGCUAGCACAACAGGGAAGA